GGAACUGCAUUUGAAACUGGCAGGCUUGAGUCUUGUAGAGGGGGGUAGAAUUCCAGGUGUAGCGGUGAAAUGCGUAGAGAUCUGGAGGAAUACCGGUGGCGAAGGCGGCCCCCUGGACAAAGACUGACGCUCAGGUGCGAAAGCGUGGGGAGCAAACAGGAUUAGAUACCCUGGUAGUCCACGCCGUAAAUMGAUGUCGGACUUGGAGGUUGUUCCCUUGAGGAGUGGCUUCCGGAGCUAACGCGUUAAGUCGACCGCCUGGGGAGUACGGCCGCAAGGUUAAAACUCAAAUGAAUUGACGGGGGCCCGCMCAAGCGGUGGAGCAUGUGGUUUAAUUSGAUGCAACGCGAAGAACCUUACCUWCUCUUGACAUCCAGCGAACUUUCCAGAGAUGGAUUGGUGCCUUCGGGAACGMUGAGACAGGUGMUGCAUGGCUGUCGUCAGCUCGUGUUUWGAAAUGUUGGGUUAAGUCCCGCAACGAGCGCAACCCUUAUCCUUUGUUGCCAGCGAUUCGGUCGGGAACUCAAAGGAGACUGCCGGUGAUAAACCGGAGGAAGGUGGGGAUGACGUCAAGUCAUCAUGGCCCYUAYGAGUAGGGCUACACWCGUGCUACAAUGGYGCAUACAAAGAGAAGCGACCUCGCGAGAGCAAGCGGACCUCACAAAGUGSGUCGUAGUCCGGAUCGGAGUSUGCAACUCGMCUCCGUGAAGUCGGAAUCGCUAGUAAUYGUGGAUCAGAAUGCCACGGUGAAUACGUUCCCGGGCCUUGUACACACCGCCCGUCACACCAUGG
rnacentral:rRNA from 1 species